UGUGACCAGCCCAGGGCUCAGGAAGUGACUCUCGCUUUGGUUCUGCCUGGGGUGCCUGUCACACUUUCCGAUGGUUGAUCAGCUCUGCCGGAAACAUGGAGGGCCUGGCCUUCAAUGGGUCUGGGGGCAGCUCUGCUCCCACCCCAGGGAGGGUCUUUGGGCACUGAGAGAAGAACCUGAAGAGGCCAGCUCUACAUACAGUACCCAUGAUGAAAAUAAGGGAAGGAGCAGGGGACGGGGAAACCUAGGGGCAGCCCUGGGACUGCCACUGUCGCCAUAAGGGAGUCAGCUCCAGGGAACCCUGCAUCUAGGUAAGCGUCCCUCUCGCUCACCUAAAUUGUCCCUCUCUUGAUAAUAUUUUAGAAGCCCAAGUUGGGUUCUUUGGGCUGUAUGACCCUCCUAGGGUCAGCAUGGCAAUUUCCUUGCUCCCAGGAGGUGCCUCAUCCUUCCCCAAAGGGAGUACUGCUUGCUGGGUCUGACUAUCUCCUCUGCACACAAACUGGGGUUGGAAAGUGAUUGAGAAUUCAUAUCUGCCUAUCCACCCACAAGGAUGCUUUCUUCAUGAACCUCCAACUCCAGGGACUGCGGUGUCAAGUAUUCUGCUCAGCGGACCUUAAAAGCCCACUGACUGCUGAAGGAGACUGUCCCCCAGCAAGGGCCGGGGAAUCCCACACUGGGGUGAGCUGCGCCACCUAGUGGGCUUUUUCCUCCUUGCAGGCAUCCUUCUCACCCAUCACUGCCUCCAGCCUAGAUUUGCUGACAAGCUAUCAGGCAGAACCCAAAUGGCUCUAAGACUUAAGCACCACAGGGGUCAGACCCUGUGUGGAGGUCUAGAAGACAAUGUUUCCAUGGCAACGGACAAGUGAACUUGGAAAUGAGAGCAUCUUCUGUUGACACAGGGAAACCCAGAUGUGCAGGGAGAGCCUGGAGAUGUGGAAUCUGACAGUGACCUCCUUGGCCACUGGUCACUGUGGAUAGAAAUGUGUAAUCUGAGUGGAAACUGAGGCCUAGAAAACUGUGACCUGCCCAAAGUCCGGCAGAAACAGGUUUCCUGAGUUCUAUUGUGCUGCUCUGGCUGCCAAAAGAAAGGGGCAGAGAAAGAAAAGACUGCCACAUUGGAAGUGAUGAGGUGAAAAGACGAAUAUUCUCUAAAAGCAAACCUGAAGAGGACUGAUUAAACACUUCCUGAGGGAGGACUCGUCACACCCCAGACAUGGGCCUGAGUCAGCUCUCUGCAGUUAUCUUGCCCAGAUAAUAGCCUCAGAAAGCAGUGUGCGCCUCCUAUGUAUGUGGCCUACAAGGAGAUAAGACAGGGCUGGAGCGGAGGAGGAGCUCUUUACCUGCAGUUUAUCCUCAUGGUUUGUGUGAGUGUUAGAGAGAUGCCUGAAUUCCUGCGUCAGGCGAAAACAGUGCUUUACGUGUUCUGGAGACACGAAGUCUUCUGCAACUUUGAUGCAACUGUAUAGAUUGUGCACCUGCGAGAGGAAAGGCAGAGGCAGACAGCAGGCGCCAGUCAGUAACCUGAGGAAACCGCUCAUGUAGUGCACAAGGACACUGGAGAAACACUUCUGAUAUCCCACGUUUAUAACAACAACAAAUGCAGAAAGACUAUUAGCAACAAACUCAGAAAUAAGCAAACUAUGGGAACUGCGGAGCCCCACCCACAAGUUGGGACAUACCUGGUGUGGGGCUCCAGCAGGU